rnacentral:rRNA from 1 species
GGCCCUUCGGGGUACUCGAGCGGCGAACGGGUGAGUAACACGUGAGCAACCUGCCCCAAGCUUUGGGAUAACCCUCGGAAACGGGGGCUAAUACCGAAUAUUACUGCUGGUCGCAUGGCUGGUGGUGGAAAGUUUUUCGGCUUGGGAUGGGCUCGCGGCCUAUCAGCUUGUUGGUGGGGUGAUGGCCUACCAAGGCGACGACGGGUAGCCGGCCUGAGAGGGCGACCGGCCACACUGGGACUGAGACACGGCCCAGACUCCUACGGGAGGCAGCAGUGGGGAAUAUUGCACAAUGGGCGGAAGCCUGAUGCAGCGACGCCGCGUGAGGGAUGACGGCCUUCGGGUUGUAAACCUCUUUCAGCAGGGACGAAGCGAGAGUGACGGUACCUGCAGAAGAAGCACCGGCCAACUACGUGCCAGCAGCCGCGGUAAGACGUAGGGUGCGAGCGUUGUCCGGAUUUAUUGGGCGUAAAGAGCUCGUAGGCGGCUUGUCGCGUCGACCGUGAAAACUUGGGGCUCAACCCCAAGCCUGCGGUCGAUACGGGCAGGCUAGAGUUCGGUAGGGGAGACUGGAAUUCCUGGUGUAGCGGUGAAAUGCGCAGAUAUCAGGAGGAACACCGGUGGCGAAGGCGGGUCUCUGGGCCGAUACUGACGCUGAGGAGCGAAAGCGUGGGGAGCGAACAGGAUUAGAUACCCUGGUAGUCCACGCUGUAAACGUUGGGCGCUAGGUGUGGGGGGCCUCUCCGGUUCCCUGUGCCGCAGCUAACGCAUUAAGCGCCCCGCCUGG